AUUAUUUUGGCAGAUUAGUGCAAUGAAUUUAGAAUUCAAAUAUGUAGUUAUAUUACAAAUAAUA
rnacentral:tRNA from 1 species